AGCGAACGCUGGCGGCAGGCCUAACACACGCAAGUCGAACGAAGUCUUCGGACUUAGUGGCGGACGGGUGAGUAACACGUGGGAACGUGCCUUUAGGUUCGGAAUAACUCAGGGAAACUUGUGCUAAUACGGAAUGUGCCCUUCGGGGGAAAGAUUUAUCGCCUUUAGAGCGGCCCGCGUCUGAUUAGCUAGUUGGUGAGGUAAAGGCUCACCUAGGCGACGAUCAGUAGCUGGUCUGAGAGGAUGAUCAGCCACAUUGGGACUGAGACACGGCCCAAACUCCUACGGGAGGCAGCAGUGGGGAAUCUUGCGCAAUGGGCGAAAGCCUGACGCAGCCAUGCCGCGUGAAUGAUGAAGGUCUUAGGAUUGUAAAAUUCUUUCACCGGGGACGAUAAUGACGGUACCCGGAGAAGAAGCCCCGGCUAACUUCGUGCCAGCCGCCGCGGUA
rnacentral:rRNA from 1 species